AGUGCCCACUGUAGCCGGCAGCAGGCCUGCUGAUCCAGAGAAAAGCCCAAUUAUGCUGAGAGGCUGAGUAGUCUCAAGAUCUGAAGACAGCAGAAACCUGGGAAAGUUAAUGAUAUACGUUGUUAUACUCCAAGUGUGAGUCUGAAGACAAGGGAAGACCAACGUCCAAGCUUGAAGACAGUCAGAUAGAAUCAUUCUGCAGCCUGGCUAAGGAUGAAGAUAACUGAUAAACUAUUAUAUACCACUAUACCAAAAAGGAUUGAAAUUAUCCUGAAAAAGGAUUGCUGCUAUUGUUGCCUUCUCUGCAUCGUGCUGUGUCCCCAAGAAGAAAACAGUUCAUGUGAAGGAAGAGAUUAGUUCCACUCAUGAAAAUCUGAAGAUUUAUAUUGUCUCUGGUUUCAUGUGAUUAUGUCAUGUGUGUCAAGAGCCAACAGUUAAUAAAUAUGUACUGAACACACAUUUCAUGAAAAGAUGUUGACAUGGAAAUUUUACCAAGCCUCCACCCCCAGAGUUAGGGUUGUUCGAAAGAGUAUCUCUUGUCUAGAGCUAUGGCUAUGUCACAAGCAAAAGAGCUGAAGGUUGAAAGGUAAAUAAGCACAAAGGAAUCAUCAGUACAAAGAGAGACUGUGACAAGACUAGACAAUUCUAUUCAAAAUUUUGAGAACUGGAGUAUAACAAAUGAGAAUGAAGAAACCAAUGAUGGAAACAUCAAGAUGAGGCCCAAUGGACCAUUAGGAGGUGGGUCUAUAAAAACUCUGAAGACAACACCAUGCUACUUGUUGCUGGCUUCUGUAUGUUAUUUCUGACACAAUGCUUAGGCAGUCUUGCUCCACUAAGAAAAAGCUGGUAGAACACAUAUAGACACUAAUAAUACGUUAAUUAUAUUAAAAAUAGGGGGCUUAUUUUAAAAUACAACUUAACUAAUAGAGUGAAAACAAUACACUGGUUGUCGUUAAACUUCCCCUUUUCUUCAUUCAUCAAAAGUGUAUCUACUGAAUACCUAACAUAAAGAAAUCAUUUAUACUGGGGUAAAUUACACAUCAAUCUAAACUUCCAGAAAAUUUUAUUCAUUAUAUAAAGUUAAAUAAGGUUGUAAAUAUCUAGAGUCCAAGGUGAAUGUGGUAUAUAUCAUAAGCGAUGUACAAAAAACAUACUGUCCGGGCACUGUGACUCAGGCCUGUAAUCCCAGUACUUUGGGAGGUCAAGGUGGGAGGAUUGCUUGAGCCCAGGAGUUUGAAACCAGCCUGGCCAACAGGGCGAAAUCCCAUCUCUACAAAAAAUACAAACAUUUGUCGGGUAUGGUGGUGCAGGACUGUAGUCCUACCUAUUCUGGAGGCUGAGGCGGGAAGAUCACUUGAUCCUAGGAGGCAG
rnacentral:lncRNA from 1 species